rnacentral:rRNA from 1 species
UACGUAGGGGGCAAGCGUUGUCCGGAAUCAUUGGGCGUAAAGGGCGCGUAGGCGGCGCGGGUAGUCAUCGGUGAAAGUUCAGGGCUCAACUCUGAAUCGGCCGGUGAUACUCCCGUGCUCGAGCACUGUAGAGGCAGGUGGAAUUCCGGGUGUAGCGGUGGAAUGCGUAGAGAUCCGGAAGAACACCGGUGGCGAAGGCGGCCUGCUGGGCAGUAGCUGACGCUGAUGCGCGACAGCGUGGGGAGCAAACAGG